rnacentral:rRNA from 1 species
UACGGAGGGUGCAAGCGUUAUCCGGAUUCACUGGGUUUAAAGGGUGCGUAGGCGGGUAAGUAAGUCCGUGGUGAAAUCUCUGAGCUUAACUCAGAAACUGCCGUGGAUACUAUUUGCCUUGAAUAUUGUGGAGGUGAGCGGAAUAUGUCAUGUAGCGGUGAAAUGCUUAGAUAUGACAUAGAACACCAAUUGCGAAGGCAGCUCACUAAACAAUCAUUGACGCUGAGGCACGAAAGCGUGGGGAUCAAACAGG